rnacentral:misc_RNA from 1 species
AAGUCGUAACAAGGUUUCCGUAUGUGAACCUGCGGAAGGAUCAUUAACACGUUCCAUAACCUAUCAACCAAUUCUGUGAUCUUUAUUCCCACCUCAAGCUCUUUAAUGAGUAAAGCAUAAAAACAUUGACAAAGAUGUGAUGUCUUGUUUUUUAUGUGAGGUGCCUAUCAAAUUCUUGACAUGAGUCUUAACUAUAAAAAGCAGCCAUCUCUGUUGUUAAUGACUCGAUAGAAUUUGAUACCCAUUUUUUUAACACCCUUCAUCAAUAUUUUAUAAUAUUGACGAACAUUUUAUUAUCAACUUCUACCUUUCAGAUUUGUGUCGACAAAGUUCAAGAUAUAAAAGUUUUGAACCCGACUGCUGUUAGGAUACCAUAGUAUAUCUAUACAAAAUAUAAGAACAACUCUUAGCAAUGGAUAUCUUGGUUCUC